rnacentral:rRNA from 1 species
UACGAAGGGGGCUAGCGUUGCUCGGAAUCACUGGGCGUAAAGCGCACGUAGGCGGACUCUUAAGUCGGUGGUGAAAUCCUGGAGCUCAACUCCAGAACUGCCUUCGAUACUGGAGAGCUUGAGUUCGGGAGAGGUGAGUGGAACUGCGAGUGUAGAGGUGAAAUUCGUAGAUAUUCGCAAGAACACCAGUGGCGAAGGCGGCUCACUGGCCCGAUACUGACGCUGAGGUGCGAAAGCAUGGGUAGCGAACAGG